rnacentral:rRNA from 1 species
AUUGAACGCUGGCGGCAGGCUUAACACAUGCAAGUCGAGCGGUAGCACAGAGAGCUUGCUCUCGGGUGACGAGCGGCGGACGGGUGAGUAACGUCUGGGAAACUGCCCGAUGGAGGGGGAUAACUACUGGAAACGGUAGCUAAUACCGCAUAACGUCGCAAGACCAAAGUGGGGGACCUUCGGGCCUCACACCAUCGGAUGUGCCCAGAUGGGAUUAGCUAGUAGGUGGGGUAAUGGCUCACCUAGGCGACGAUCCCUAGCUGGUCUGAGAGGAUGAACAGCCACACUGGAACUGAGACACGGUCUAGACUCCUACGGGAGGCAGCAGUGGGGAAUAUUGCACAAUGGGCGCAAGCCUGAUGCAGCCAUGCCGCGUGUAUGAAGAAGGCCUUCGGGUUGUAAAGUACUUUCAGCGGGGAGGAAGGCGGUGAAGUUAAUAGCUUCACCGAUUGACGUUACCCGCAGAAGAAGCACCGGCUAACUCCGUGCCAGCCGCCGCGGUAA